AGAGGAUCCAGAGAGGAUCCAAAUUCCAUGGGUUUCACCUUGACAUCUUGCAAUCGUACAUAUCUCCUUGCUGCCAUGACAAGUCUGCUCUCUUCAUUAAAAAAUAUGUCUAUAUAACUUUUUCUUUCGCGCCAUUCCAUUCACCAACCCAGAAGAGAGUACAUUUGAUUUUACAGAAACUCAUAAGCAGAUUUUUUUUUUUUAUUCCCUCUGCCUUCUUGUUAUAUUUCAUUACUGAAGGAUUUAUUUUCUCCCCUUUUUGUUGAAAACAUCCACAGACACUCUUUUCUUUCCUUUUCUUUUUUCCCUCCUAUUUCUUUCUUCUUCUUCUUGUUCUAUACUCUUUUCUUUUUCUGAGAGAAGUCAAGAGAUUGGGAGAGGAAAAUCAAAGGGAGAAGUGGGAGAGAGAACCGGAGAGGAAUUAGGGGGGGGGGGGGGGAGAUUCCGGCAGGUCUGCCGCCGCUGAGGAGGCGCUGACGCCGGUGGGUCACGGCCGGCGUCGGUGACAGCAGGGGAGGGGGCUUUUUCUGGCGAUUUUCCGGUACUCCAAACAGUAGAAAAACUCAUUCUUUUUCUGGGUAGAAGGUCAUUCAAAGCUGUUGUUCAUCAAGGUACUGCAUACGUCGAUGAGGACCUUGUGGCGCUAUAUUUGGAAUACUAUGGUUGAAGAUUAUUGCGAUGAUUGUAUGUGUUGGACUUGAGGAUAGUCCAUAUUUUUGUAUAGACUUUUGUAUAUGGCUUGCGUCGCAUGUGACACUUAUUUUGUAGUCAUUUUUGAUGUAUAUAAUGUUUUGAUUAAACCUUAAACAGAUAGACAGAUGCAUAGCUUUAUAUUAUAAUUAACACUUGUUACCAAUUCUAAUCAUUUACCUUUGAAGUA